ensembl:lncRNA
UCAAGACAAAAGAAGAUACAAAUUCCAUGAGCUGAACUUGUCUGGUCUUAGUUUUUUCUUAGGACACACCAUUCUUUAUGUAUCCUACUGGGAAGGCUGAUGGAGUCCCCCGAUGGAAUUUUCUCCAGCUGUUGGUGGUCUGUUCAGGAGCUGAUGGCAUGACAUUUUCGUCCUUGGUUUCUCUACCCUGGCCAUUUCCUCAGGGUGAAAAAAACAUUGUGUUUAGUGGAUAGUUCUACUAACUUACAUGUACCUCUCCAUCUUGUUUAAUGUGUUUACCUCAUAUCCAAUUUUUUGAUUUAUUUCCUUUUUUGAAGCACGUUGUUCAUGUUUGACAGAUGAAGAAUCAUGGUAAAUAUCCCCCAAGAAUUCACCACUGAAAAGCUGUCUUUGUUCAAAAGACUGGGGGCUAGGCCUGCUGUAGUCUUCCAGGUUUCUCUAAAUCAGACCUCACUAGUGAUUAUUAUACAUAUAGAAGUAUGUGUGUAAACACACACAGACACUUGUAAGUGUAAUUUAUGCAUCAGUUCAUAUUUAUUCCCUCAUUUCACAUUAUCCUGUAAAACUAAAGGCAGAUUUAUAUUCUUCUCCAGUGAGAUGUUUAAUUUAACAGAAACUGACAUAUUCCAAAAAUGAAUUAUUGUUCUUUGUGACAAUGUCUUGGCUGCGAAGAGUGUGCUGGGGAAUAGCCUGGUGUGCUUUGGUCUACAGCAGUUUGCUGGGCUCUGGAAAAGUUUGGGAUUUAUUUCUUUUGGGUCUUGUUGCAAGUACUCUAAUUGCCUCAAGGAAAUGUUUCAUUAUACCAGGUGGAAGCAGUCUCCAGAAAAGGCUAGAUACUAUAUAUUUCAGUCUAAGGAUAGGGGGGCUCUCCUCCUGAAUCUAACAGUAGCAACACCCGCCUUUAAUAUACUGCCCCCACAGCCCAUCAAUAAUGGCGCCCUACCUCUGCUUCCCUGUGAAGUUGCUAAAUUUGUGCUCUUUCAACCACAACACACAUCCUUUUCACUUUAAUAUGGAGCACAUAUGUGUGGUUAGGUGGGCCCAAUGGGAGAAAAUGUGGAUGAAGGAUUUUAACAUUACAUUAUAAUAUUAGAGAAAAAAGUUUAUAAGAUGAUCUGCAGAUAGUAUUUUGACAAAAGAAAUGUUGUUUAAAAUGUAGAAAGCUUUCAGUAGUACUUGCUGGAAAUGUAACCAGAAAGAAGGAACUUUUAAUCACAUGUGGUGAACAUGAGAUAAGGAAAGAAUAGAUCCAGAUAAUUCAUUUGAUGGAGUAUAUUCUGAAAUUGAAAAUUUAAUUGAAACCAGACAUUUGUGUUUGUUGGGAUUGAUGGACAAACAGAUUGGAAAAGUAUCCAGUAUAUGACUGCAGUUGCUAGACUUUCAAGAAGAUUGGCUGAUGAAACUAUUGAGCUCAUCACAUGGCUCCAAAUGCAUCCUAGGACUCCCUGAGCUAGCUUCAUGGACAGAGCUCCAUUGUAAUAAUCAGACAACGUCUCUAGCUCCACCCCCAACUGCCUCCAACUGGAGCAAAAGUGUCACCAGAUGCUUUCCCUAGCAACAAAGGAGGCAUCCUGUUUUGUGUU